rnacentral:rRNA from 1 species
AACGAACGCUGGCGGCAUGCCUAACACAUGCAAGUCGAACGAGACCUUCGGGUCUAGUGGCGCACGGGUUCGUAACGCGUGGGAACCUUCCCUUAGGUUCGGAAUAACUCCCCGAAAGGGGUGCUAAUACCGGAUAAUGUCUUCGGACCAAAGAUUUAUCGCCGUUGGAUGUGCCCGCGUUGGAUUAGCUAGUUGGUAGGGUAAAAGCCUACCAAGGCGACCAUCCAUAGCUGGUCUGAGAGGAUGAUCAGCCACACUGGGACUGAGACACGGCCCAGACUCCUACGGGAGGCAGCAGUGGGGAAUAUUGGACAAUGGGCGAAAGCCUGAUCCAGCAAUGCCGCGUGAGUGAUGAAGGCCUUAGGGUUGUAAAGCUCUUUUACCCGGGAUGAUAAUGACAGUACCGGGAGAAUAAGCCCCGGCUAACUCCGUG